GAAGCGAGACGGAGACGUUAAGCGAACCCAAAAAAGUAAGUCUCAGUUCGGAUUGAAGGCUGAAAUUCGCCUUCAUGAAGCCGGAAUUGCUAGUAAUGGCAGGUCAGCAUACUGCCGUGAAUACGUUCCCGGGCCUUGUACACACCGCCCGUCACACCAUGAGAGUUGGUAGCGCCCGAAGCCAGUGACCCAACCGGAAACGGAGGGAGCUGUCGAAGGUGGGACCGAUAACUGGGGUGAAGUCGUAACAAGGUACC
rnacentral:rRNA from 1 species